UCCUCCCACUUAAUCAAACUUUUGUAUAUAUAUAUAUAUAUAUAUGAAGAUGUUUGGAACAACAUUUGAGAAAAGUAAAGUCUGAUUAUUUUGGAGUUACUUUCUUAAAAAUGAGAUUUAUACUGUUUUGAUUUUCUUCAAAGCUCAUUUUGUAUGAAAUAUAGCAAAUGGGUGUAGAUUGGAAGCAAUACUGUU
rnacentral:misc_RNA from 1 species